CCUACGGGAGGCAGCAGUGGGGAAUCUUGCGCAAUGGGCGAAAGCCUGACGCAGCCAUGCCGCGUGAAUGAUGAAGGUCUUAGGAUUGUAAAAUUCUUUCACCGGGGACGAUAAUGACGGUACCCGGAGAAGAAGCCCCGGCUAACUUCGUGCCAGCAGCCGCGGUAAUACGAAGGGGGCUAGCGUUGCUCGGAAUUACUGGGCGUAAAGGGAGCGUAGGCGGAUAGUUUAGUCAGAGGUGAAAGCCCAGGGCUCAACCUUGGAAUUGCCUUUGAUACUGGCUAUCUUGAGUUUGGGAGAGGUGAGUGGAACUCCGAGUGUAGAGGUGAAAUUCGUAGAUAUUCGGAAGAACACCAGUGGCGAAGGCGACUCACUGGCCCAAUACUGACGCUGAGGCUCGAAAGCGUGGGGAGCAAACAGGAUUAGAUACCCUGGUAGUCCACGCCGUAAACGAUGAGUGCUAGUUGUCGGCAUGCAUGCAUGUCGGUGACGCNGCUACGCAUAGACACUCCGCCGUCGGGAGGUACGGUCGCGAGAUAACGUACGAAGAAGUAGACGCGNGAGACGUGCGACGACGACGACGAGGGAGGAGG
rnacentral:rRNA from 1 species